rnacentral:misc_RNA from 1 species
CGCUGUCCGGUAGGCUGGGAGGUUGGAGAGGUACCAAGCGAUCAAUGGGCUUGAUGUUACCGGAGUCUCGAGGCUCCCGAUAAAUGGGUCACCAUUGAUGGGCUGAAUAACUUGGUAAGUAGGCUUGUCUGUCUGGACAGCUUUGAUGGUGAAGGAAGAGUUUCUCCUGCAGGGUAAGACUCUCAAUGGAGCUGCAGAGAUACCCUUAGGGAUGAUCAGUCCCCUUGUUGAUGAAGCAAAGCUGCUCCUCAGCUGACUGGCCAUUGGGGAAGCUGUGGCUGCCAUUUCUG